rnacentral:lncRNA from 1 species
CAUCGGUGUGCAGGUGCUGGCUGAAACCACGGGGAAAGUGUGUUGAGUGCAAAGAGCAUUGAGUCAAGGGCAGUGCCCUGUGGACCAUGUAAGGAGCAGGCAGAGGAAGAGGGGCCAGGAAAGAGCAGAAAGGCCGGGGAGACACAAGGACAACCUGGAGGGUGUGGUUUCAUGGGAGCUGAAGGGCAGCAUGUGACAGGACAUUGACCAAGUGUCCCCAAGCAUCGCAUACUGUAAGACGUCCCCCGGGUUUGGCAAUCCAGAGGUCUCAGGUGCCCUCAGCACCAGGAAGGUCAAGAGAAGCGUGGCGUUGGAGGCCAGGACGUAGUGGGCAGAGGAAUGAGCAGGAGCUAAGAAACUGGAAAGAACAGUAUGACCUGUGACGUCACAAGGACUGCCCUCGGAUAGGACAGGGACCACAGAGGGGUGAGAACAGUUUGUAGGUCAGAGAGCGAGGAGCUGAGGGAGACCAGACAGAACAGCCUUGAUUGUCCCGAGGAACCGAGAUGAUGCCCCCCCCCACCCCCCCACCCCGGGACCACAGCCAGCCGUCCUCCUCCUCCGUGGCGGGCUGUGCGCCUGGGGGUCGCAGCAAGAGUUCAGUCUCUCAUUUUGUUAUUGCUGUUAGUCAGCUGGUGAAUAUUUACUGAGCAUGAACAAUGUCCAAGGCCUCGUGCAGGUAACUGAGGAAAAUACAAGAAUGACGUGACUGAGUCCUGCUCAGAGGCGCUCUGGGCCUUGGAGCCUGGGGAGUCGCUGCACCCCAGGGGAAGUCAGAAGCUGGGCUGGGUCAGGAUGCUGAGCUGGUGCACACGAGCGUAUUCAUGCAUUCAACAGACCCGCUGGGGGCUGUGACGUGCCCCGCACUGACCAGGUGCUAAGAAUACAUCAGAGAACAGAACAGACCACAACCCUGCUCCUGUGGCCCCUGCCACAUUAGGGGAGACAGUCUAUAGAGGUAACAGGAUUGUUAUAACAGACGUGAUACAUGCAAAAUGCCUGGCCCAGAAUAGGAGCACGUGACGGUCCUGUAAGUUGGUUCACUCAAAAUCUAUUCUCCAACAUCUCCUUCUUGGCCUUCCUCUACUAGAGAAGAGAGAAGAGGAAAUGAUACUCAAGCUUCCAGCUCCCCUGUACUUAGGGGUGGCCACAAAACCCAGCUACGGCCAAUGAGAGGAAGGUAGAAGUCCUUGACUUUUCCAAAUCUAAAAGCAGAGCUUCUGAGCAGCAAGUCCUUACUCCUCUGUUCUUCCCUCAUACCUUCUUGCCUGGAACUCAACUUGAGGGUAGAGGUAGAGCAGCCAUCUUGUAGUCAUGAGGUAACGAGCACAGAUCAGAAGUGAAGAAUGAUGGGGUAGCAAGACAAAAAGUACUGAGUGCUUAAUGACAUCACUGAGCCACUAUUUUAGCCCAUGGCUACCUGCCCAGAAAUUUAUUGUUGUGUGAGACAACCGCCUUCCUGGUAUGAGCCAAUGUUUGUUGGGGUUUCUGCUAUGUGAAGCAAAUGCAAUCAAUAACAACAGCUAUCAUCACCAUCAUCAUCCCCACCACCAUCACCGCUAUCAUCACCAUCUCUGCUCUCCUGCAUCUGCAACAACCUCCAGCUCGCAGCUUUAGAUUUUAUUAUCUAAUUGGGAGCCAAUUAAGACUUACUAAAUGAACCUCUGAAGUGUCAUUUCCC